GAACUAAAACUUAAUAUAAGCUCAAUGUAAGUUAAGUCUACAAGUACUUCCAAGAACAGGAUUUAAAUAUCCUUGCUUUGAUGUGGAUACUAGGAACCUUCUUUGUCUUCUCCUUAAUUGCCAUCCAGGAAUCCAAGGCACAAGAUCCUGCAGGGUUUCUGGAUGAAAAUGGAAAGCUAGCUGAAUCAAAAGUAUUAGGAAGGUAUUCUAGGGAAAUACAGCCAAGCUUACAGGAAGAUCUUAAAAAUGGUGUCUCAAAGAAACCUGAAAGUAAAAGACCUUUAAAAGGAGCAAAUAGAAAAAAUAAGAGUAAUAAAAGAAACAAAAAAACAGGUCAAAAUCUAUCAAAUCAACGGAAG